rnacentral:rRNA from 1 species
CUGAGAGGUGGUGCAUGGCCGUCGUCAGUUCGUACUGUGAAGCAUCCUGUUAAGUCAGGCAACGAGCGAGACCCACGCCCACAGUUGCCAGCGUACUCUCUGGAGUGACGGGUACACUGUGGGGACCGCCGCUGCUAAAGCGGAGGAAGGAAUGGGCAACGGUAGGUCAGUAUGCCCCGAAUAUCCCGGGCUACACGCGAGCUACAAUGGUUGGUACAAUGGGUAUCUACCCCGAAAGGGGACGGGAAUCUCCUAAAACCAAUCUUAGUUCGGAUUGAGGGCUGCAACUCGCCCUCAUGAAGCUGGAAUCCGUAGUAAUCGCGUUUCAACAGAACGCGGUGAAUACGUCCCUGCUCCUU